GUGACGGCCGCGCCCCGCUAGCUUCCCUUCAGGGACUGAAGAACGCUGCUACCUCCGAACGGUUGGCUCUUCGAUCCUGGCCAGGUCCAAAGGUUAAUGGUCCUCGGGCAACCCGAAGGCUAAAUGUGUGUGUGCGUGUGUGCGGGCACGCACCCACGCCUGCAUGUGUUCGUAGGAGCAAGAAUCAACAGAUCAAGACAUUUGCUGUCCCUGACUCCUGGGGUUUAUAUUCUAGUCUAGUGGUUCCCUUAAUUUAUUUUACUCAAUAAUUCUGUAAGGCAGGUAUUCAUUAUCUCUAUUUUAUGUCCCCAUUUUACAGUUUUGGAAUCUGAGGUUACAGGCUUUUAAGUAAUUUGCUCAAGAUCACAUAGCAGUAAGUGAUAGAGUCAGGAUUUCAAAUUUCUGGUUUUUGGACUUUUUCCACUAAACUCCACUUUCACUAUAAAAAGGAAAAAAAGUGAGUUAUUAAAGACAAGCCUGCAAGAGUGGAAAGUGUUACUUUCAUCAUUCUUCAUAUGUCAACUUCCUUCCUCUACAUAAUUUUUAACGGGAAAAAGACCAAACUUUUAUGAGUCUUAUACAUUUUGUUCAAGAUCAUUUAAAAAAAAAAAAAAAUUUUUUUUUUUUAUGAAAGAGAGACAACUGAACAUUAUACCCUGAAAACUCUGAAAUUAUGAAAUCCCAUGGCUUAGGUAAAUGAAGAGUAAUACUGGGUUUCAGUAGAUGUGAUAAUCAGAAAAUCCCAUGGAACCUAUCCAACCUAUUCAAGAUAGAGUAAUACAGUGAGUGGAACUUUGAAUUUAAGUUACCCUUCGAAUCCCAAACUUGUGUGGGUCUGAAUCUAUGGCCAUAAGCUGGGGUUCUUGGGAACUCCUAGUUCAUAUGGAUUCUUUGUUUUCCUGUUUUUUUUUGCCUUUAGUGUAUCCUUUUUCUGCCUCCUUGCCUUUUCAGUUUCUGAGUACUUGUACAGAUCUUUCCUUGUCUUACUAGCUUUUACAGUGAAGUUUUUCAUAUACCUCUUCCCCCGUCCCCCCGCCAUACUUAUCCUCCCUUCUGAGACUAGAUGCUCUAAAGCAUCAUCCUUGCCAGGGGAAGGAGGUAUCGUAUUUCUCACUAAUGGCUGUUUAGAAGGUUUUUUUUAUUUUUCCCCUCCCUAGUUCUUAAAAAAAAAAAAAAUUUUUUUUUUUUUUUUAGUUCUACGUAAAAGUAUUUGCGUGUGGAGAAGCAGCAGAGAAAUAUUGCACUGUCUUAUGAAAAUAAACUGAUAAAAAACAAAUGUGCUGCUGUUGAGUCAAUUCCAAUGCAUGACGACCCCAUGUGUUACAGAGUAGAACUGCUCCAUAGGGUUUUUUGGCUGUAAUCUAUGGAGGCAGAUCACCAGGCCUUUCCUCUGCAGCACUGCUUGGUGGGUUCGAACCAUCAACCUUUAACUUAGUAGUCAAGUACAAACCCAAUUCCCAAUUAGAGAAGGUGCAGUAGAGAUAGAAAAACCAUAGGUAUUUACUUAAAGGGAAAGUAGGAGACACAUUGAAAUGUCAUCAAUGAGUUCUGUGCACUUGGACAUCAUUUCAGUACAUUAGAAUUCUGACGGAUAUGAAGUUGUGUGACUGAUAGAUUGAAGCUAUAUCUUCUAAUAGGAGUACCAGAAUUAGUUGCAUGGCCUUUUAAGCAGAGCAGUAAAUAGUAAAUUACCCUAUUUCUUAUUUCCAAAAAUACUUGAGGUCUGAUUCUGGGGUUGUAGGUCUAUUUUAGGAUGGUCCUGAAAACCCUAAAUUUAACUAGGUUAGUUUUGUCUUAGAGUUGGCCUGUAUUGAGAACUGACAUGCAAUAAUCUCAGUGUUGGGUUAGGAUUGCCUGAGAUUGUUGAAUAGAUUCACUCAAACCUCACCUCAAGCCUGGAUCCUCACUGCUUGGCCUGGGCCCAACCUCAAAUCUGUCCUCUGGGGAUGGAUGGUCUUUUUAUAUUUAUUUUGUUUUCAUAAUCUGUGAAUCAUCAUUUUUGAAAGAGAUUAAUACACAGGCAGUCCCUGGAUUACGAAUGAACACUGUUCCUAAGUCUGUCUUUAAGUCAACUUUGUACCUAAGUCAGAACGGUUAGGUAUGAUUCAUAUCUAACAUCAGUUAGUCAAAUGUUUGUCUUAGUGUAUAUGUUUUUGUGUAUAAAAAGCAUUAAAGAAGUAUUUCCAGAUACACUAAAACAUCUUUUACGUAGUAUAGUAAUAAUAAGUUUUGACGUAUGUCACAAAGUAGUGCUUGUUAUUACGAACCAUUUUAUGCACUUGAAUUUUUAAUAUAAUAGGCUUUACGGGGAUUGGUUUGGAACUACAGAUUGUAUGUAUAUUGGAUGUUCAUAACCCGAGGCUGCCUGUACUUUUAUCUUGCCAAACACAGGAACAGAGAAACUGACCACCUUUUUUAGGAAAGUAGAUUUAGGCAGUCUUUUCAGCUUUAGCUCUGUCUCUUAAUUGUUAGAAAUUUAGUGUAACAUAGUUUAUUCCUUAGGGCCAACCUUGUAAUAGGAUCUGAACUGUGCGUAAACACAGGUUGUACCCUAAAUCUCAGACAGUUGUAAGACUGCUAGAAUGAAGACUCUGCUAUCCGAUUUGAUUGGGUUGCAUACACAAAGACACUUUGCAGAGAGUUGGCAAUUCAAAGCCGUUGUUAUUAUUUAUAGAAAGCAAACAGUAAACAGGAACAGAUUCGAGGUGAACUGGUCCCCUUUAUCCCCAUGAGUACCCUGCUUAGCAUGGUAAGAGGGGACCCACUUAUGUCUAAAAUGGAACCCGCUCACCCUUCCCAAAUUACCCAUGUCCAUAUCUGUGUCACUGGCUGGGCACGCUACGGAUCAGGUGUGAGCAGCUGUCUCUCUCUUAGCAGGUGUGUCCUCAGCUCAGAUCAGGUGUGGCAUUUGUGUUCAUUCUGUCUCUCUCUCUCUUCUCUCCACAGCUGGGUCUGGCUCCCUGUGCUUACUGUCCAGCUCUCAACCGGCAGCUUUAAGACAAACCUAGGCCGGCGCGAGGGUUAGACCGGCAUCAUGACAGCUCUUGAGGCAAAAUUGUUUUACAGGCAACCUCUGUAGGGUGUAUACCCAAGCCUCUGCGGGCAACCUCUGCCCCUCUGGACAAGACUCCCCUAGGCCCACCUCUGGAGAGGCUUCCUCUCAGCCCUCUCUGGACAGACCUCUCAGCCCCUCCAGGAUAGGCUUCCUCUUGGCCCUCAGGACUGGCCCCCUCUUUGCAUUAGGUGAGUCUGCUGCUGCCAAAGGCAGGCUAGGUCAGUCUCCACGCUGCUGCUUGCUUUGCUCUGGUAUCUGUCUCUAUAGGCCCAGACUGCAGCUGCUUCCCUAUAUGGGAUGCGCAGCUUCAUUGGCGACCACCUGCCCAGAAGUGCCAAAAUUUGUUGGCGACGUCCUGCCUAGAGGUGCCCAGGUCAGUUCCAUGGGCUGACUUGUCCAUCACCAUGUGCCGGUCUCAUGGUUCCAGCUGCUCCUACUGUUGCCCCAUUUAUCUGCUGCUGGGCUCUGCUGUGCUUACUUCCUUUUCUCUUGGUCUUCAGUGUUAUCAGCUCAGUGUUACAGCUCUUUUAUUUGGGUCUAGGAGGUUUUUAUUUAGGAGGUUUUCAGCACAGGGACCCCAAGUCCAAAGGACAUGUUCCUCUCCAGGCUCUUGUUGAUCAGGAAAUCCCCAAAGAACAUCUGUGAGAUUGGCCACUUACAUAGGAUAACUUGUCAAUUUAAGGCAUGGCUUUCAUAAACCAACCAAUCCCUUAGGCGGAUCAUAAACUGACCAAUCCUGUUGGGUGGAUUGCAAGCCACUUUUGUGGGUAGCAAACCAGCCAAUCCUUGCAAGCAGCUUAGGUGGCCAGCAAACUGACCAACCUUUGCAAGGUCAUUUAUGCAGAUAGCAAACCGACCAAUCCUUGCAAGCCACUUAUGCUGAUAGCAAACCAACUAGUUCUUUGGUAGAUUGUGGCCCAGCUAAAUAUUUUGGGAGAAUUGUAAACCCAGGGCCAGAAAGGCCACAUAAAAGAAACCCAUUGCAUUAUACAUGCUUGAGGUGCAAGCAUGAAUGAGAGGAACACACAGUCUAGCAGAGCAGACACCUAAACAUAAUUUCAAAACAGUAUGACAAAUUCUACAAUAGGAAUAAGAAUAGAGUGCAAUGGGAGCAUUGCCUGUGAGAAGCUAGAGCAUUUCGGCCAAAGGGAAUGAUUUGCAUAAGUUUGGAAGCUUGAGAACACAAGGUGGAUUAAGAAGAUACUGAGAAUUUCUGAGCAGCUCUAAUGUAAAGGCAUUGGUGGGGAGAUGAUAGGAGGUUGAGUCCAGAAGGUAUUUGGAGCCAUAGAUUAGGCCUGGAGGUGAAGAUCUACUGGAGUAUAGCACAGGAUUUGUUAGUUGAAUUUUUAUCAUUAGAUGAGAUACCCAGGGAGGGCUAAGAAUUUAAGUUUGGGAACACUAUGUGAGCAACCAAUGUUUUAUUUGAAACAUGAUCUCAGAGGAAAUAAAAUUGGGGAAGGUAUGAAUAUGUGAAGAACCAAAAGUUUAGAAAGUUAGUGGAUUUUUUGCCUUUCGUUAAUGUGUCCAAAUGUUUAUUGAGUACCCUCUGUGUGCCAGGCACUAUGCUAGGGAGUGGGGAUAAGAUGGUAAAUAAGGCAGAAAUUGAUCCAGAUCCCAGAUAUCAUUUCAUUUGUGAACAUUUCAGUGUGUAUCACUAAAAGUUAAGGUUUUUUUUCUUUUUUAAAAUGUUAUCACAAUAUCACAUUAUUGCAGCUUGUUAUUGCUCUUGUUCGUUGCCAUUGAGUUGAUUUUGACUCAUGACGACCCCAUGUGUACAGAAUAGAACUGCGGCAUAGGGUUUUCAAGGCUGUGACCUUUCGGAAGCACAUUGCCAAGCCUGUCUUCCAAAGUACCUAUGGGUGGGAUUGAACAGCCAACCUUUUGAUUAGUAGUCAAGUGUUUAACCAUUUGCGCCACCCAGGGACUCCUCGUUACAGUCAAAUACUGAUAAACCCAAAACCAGGUCCAUUGCCAUUGAGUCGAUUCUGACUCAGAGAGACCCAAGAGGACAGAGUAGAACUGCCCUACAGGGUUUCUAAGGCCGUCAUCCUUACGGGAGCAAACUGCCACAUCUUUCUCAUGUGGAGUGCCACCAGAGUUCCUCUACUGCUGCUCCUACUAAUGUACUAAUAUCAGUGGCUCCUCGGAAGACAGGCCUGGUAAUCUGAAUUGACUUGACGGCAACUAACAACAACAAAUAUCAAAUAUCCAGUCGGUGUUCAGUUUUCUUGAUUGUCUGAAAUGUCUGCUCUUCUUCCCCAACAUUGGCUUAUUUCAGUCAGGAUUCCAGACAAGAUCCGCACAUAAAAUUCAUGAGCCUCUUUUAAUCUAUAGGUCCACCUUCUCUUUUUUUUUCUUUGCCUUUUUUUUGUUGAAGAAACCAGAUAGUUCUUGUGUAUUAAUUUUCCGUAGUCUGGAUUUUGCCGCUGGCAUCCUUUUGUUAUAUUUAAGCAUAUUCCUUUGCCUUCUAUAUUUCCUAUAAACUGAUGAUUAGAGCUAGAAGCUUUUAUAAGAUCAGGGCUUUUGUGGGAGAGGGGCAAGAAUACUUCAUAGGGAGAGUGUGUACUUACUGUUGUAUCACAUCAAGAGGCACAUGAUGUCUAAUUGUCUCUCUGUGAUGUUAAAGUUGAUCAGUGUGUUCAGGUAAUAUUGGUAGAACCUAGUGAUUGAUUGGAUGUCAGUGGAGUCGGGGGAGGAAGAAUCUAAUCACACCCAAGUUUUUGGUUUGAGCUAGAUGAAUGAUAAUAGGGAAGAUGGGAAGUUCAGGUUGAGGUGAAAGGUGGUAUGCUUUGGGUCAUGUUGAAACUGAGGUAAAGAUGUCUUAUAAGCUGUUGAAUAUAUGGGCAUGAAGUUGAGGACAAAAAUCUGUGUGGCAAAUAAAUAUGAGCUUCAUAUAUAUGGAGAAUUGAGAUAAUGAGUGAGAAGGGUAGAAAGCCUUGGGGUAGGACUCUGAGCAAAUACCACCGAAUUAGUUAUCCAUUGCUGUGUAACACAUUACACCAAAACUUAGCUACUUAAAACAACAAACAUAUAUUAUUUCAUAGUUUCUUUGGGUCAGGAUUUGGGUGUGAUUUAGCUGAUGGCUCUGGCUCAAGGUCUCUCAUGAGGUUGCAGUCAUCUGAAAGGCUUGAGUGGAUCUGGAGGAUCCACUUCCAAAAUGACACACCCACACACUGUUGGUAGAAAAUCUGAGUUCUUUGCUGGCUGUUGGAAGGUGGCCUAAUUUCCUGACCAGGUAGUCUUGCCAAUGGGCUGCUUGAGUGUCAUCACAAUAUGGCAACAGGCUUCACCCAGAGCAAGUGAUUCAAGUGAGAGGAAGGAGGAAGCUGCAAUGCCUUUUAUGACCUAGUCUCAGAAGCCACAUACCACCACUUCUGCCUUAUUUUAUUCAUUAGUCCCUAAGUCCAGCUCAUGCUAAUAGGGACGGGAAUUAGGCUUUACCUUUUUAAAGGAGUGUCCAAAGAAUUUGUGGACAGAUUUUAAAUCACCACAAUUGCAUUUAAGGGUUAAGCAGAGGGAAAAGCCUGCAUAGGAGAAUAAACAGAGAGAGAGAAUAGAAAAACCAAAUGAAUGUGGCAAUCAUGGAAGUCAAGGAGGGAAUAGUGAGUUGCCUUGAAUACUGCUGAGAGAAUUGAAUAGAUGAAGCCUAAAAAGUAUCCAUUGGAUUGAUCAGUUUGGUGCCUGUCUUAGUUAUCUAGUGCUGCUAUAACAGAAAUACCGCAAGUAGAUGACAUCAACAAACAGAAUUUUAUUCUCUCAGAGCCUAGCAGGCUAGGAGUCCGAUUUCAGGGUGCCAGCUCCAGGGGAAGGCUUUCUCUGUUGGCUCUGAGGGAAGGUCCUUGUCAUCAGUCUUCCCUGGUUGAGGAGCCCUCACCACAGGGACCCUGGGUCUAGAGAACACACUAUUCUCCUGGCUCUUGAUUCUUGGUGGUAUGAGGUCCCCAUGUCUCUCUGCUCACUUCUCUCUUUUAUAUCUCAAAAGAGAUUGAGUUAAGACACAGCCUAAUCUUGUAGAUUGAGCUCUGUCUCAUUAACAUCAUUGAGGUAGGAUUUAUAACACAGAGGAAAAUCACAUCAGGUGACAAAAUGGUGGACAAUCACACAAUACUGGGAAUUAUGGCCUGGCCAAGUUAAUACACAUUUUUUGGGACACAGUCCACAGUAAUGCCCUUAUGUUGGCACUUUGAUCAUUGAUGCCCUUAUUGAGAGCAGUUUCUAUGGGGUGGUGGGUGUGGAAGUCAUACUGGAGCAACUUGAAGAGUAAACAGGAGGUAAGAAGUAGAGGAAGUGAGUGUAGAUUGCUAAAGAUAUUUGGUUAUGAAAGGGACAGAGAGAGGGAUAUGGAGUUGAAGGGAAGGACUUAUAAGACAGGAUAUGCUUAAAUGUCCUAGGGAGGGAAGCAAUGUUAAAAAGUGAGGGUAGAGUCUGGAGUUAAGGAGUGUAGUAAUCGUUUAGAACAAUGGCUUCAGAACUGGAAAAAAGAAUAACUAGAAGGCAAGUUAAAGGUUAUAUUGUGUGAGGAACUAGUUGAGUUUAUAAAUCAUGGUUUAGUCCUGAUCCAAGAAUGUUUAACCUUUUUUGUUGAGUAUUUUUUUGGUAACAUUUUGGAGAAAAGGUUAGAAACAGUGAAGCGGUAAGUUACGUGGGCCACUCAAGGUAUUCUUUGUAAAAGGAGUCAUUAGAAAAAUCAAGUUUUUUGCUGUUACACACUAACAGGAAGAGACUUACAAUGACUUUGCAUUUCAGAAGCACUGCUAGUCAAAACAAAACCAUUUAAGUGUUAUUUGGCAGUCUUUUAACGGUGUCAGGAAGAUGAUAAAAAAUCUGCCAUCUAAAAUUCUGGGAUUUUAGUUGUUUUUUUCCUGUGUCUGAACAGCUGAAUUACCUACCAAGUUCAGGUGACCCCAGAUGUCACAAAAUUCCACAGAAGGGUUAGACAACAAGCUGUUUGGGGCUCUCUGGUGCGUGUGCGCGCGCUAACCUCAGUGAAAUCACUUUAACCUCAGACUGAGCUCUGCAUCCUCUCGUGCCUUCAGUGGGGUUGCUGGCCCACCUGAGUAAUUCAGGUCUGGAUGCAGUUGUGUAUCGAGUCCCUGGCUGGUUUUGUUUCUUUGUUUAUUGGCUGCAUGGACACGGGGCAAAUGAAAGUGGGGUGUGUGGAGUUAGCUAAUAGAUUCGGUUCAAACAGAAUGAAGCGGGAAUACAAGCCAGUGAGUUCUUUUUUUCCUUCUUGAGCAGGAAUUUUUGGCUUACGUUCAGAUAAUUGCUCUGUCUCUAGGACAACAGGCAGAAAAUCUAUUGCGUGAGUGAUGUGAGUUCUUGUGAAGCUACUUGUGUUCUUCCAGCCUUCACUUUACAGCAGAAUUGAAGAUAUGGGGGGCUUGGUGGGCAUGGGUGGCUUCCCCACCCAUGACUUGGUGGAUUUUAGCUUUUUGAGGAACUUAACUAUAUGUAUUUUUCUUGCAAAGAUGUAAAAGAGGCAGUCUGAGAUUCUCCUAAAAAUGAGAUUCAGCACUAUCUCAUCAAACAAUUAAAAGUGAAUUUAUACUUUUCUAGAUAAACUAGAAAAGUAUCAAUUUAUCAACUGUGAUUUUUUGGAAAAAGUUAGGUUUAUAUGUACAUUUUAAUAGUCCAAAUCUAAUCAAGUAACUUUAGAACUGUAAAAGGAACAAUAAGAACAAAAAAUGCAGCUAAUUUAAAUGCCCUGAAAAGAAAACUAAGUAUAAUCAGUGGGAAGAAAUAUUGUAUCUUUCACUGUCCUUGAAUACCUAGCUAGUGUUCCAUUUCUCCCUUUUCUCAAACUCCUGAGCCUUGUUCAUAUAAUUCUUUUGAGUAUUUAAUAAUUUCACAUCUGUUAUAACUAACUAAUCUUGUCUCUAGUACAUUCUUUAUCUGUAUAACAAGCUUGUAAACUCCUUGUAUGUGACACAUUGUUUUCAUAGUGAAUGGUCCGAGACCCUUCAAACUAGGCUUAGAGGUGAGGUGUAGAAGUUUUGUGGAGUAUACUAAUAACAAAUAUGCACAUCUUCAUGGUUUAUGUAAAACCUUAUUGAGCUUAUUAAUAAUAGUGGUUCUUGUUUAAUCACCUAGAACCUGUAGAACUGUAUAGGAUCUUUGCUUACUGUGUUACAUCAGACAAGCAGUCAGUUCUUGCUGAUCUUGCAAGCAAUUUUGUUAACGGUAAUAAUUUGAGUUGCCCAAAUGAUUAAGUGCUUGACUACUAGCUGAAAGGUUGGCAGUUCAGGCUCACCCAGAGGCACAUCGGAAGACAGGCCUGGUGAUGUGCUUCUGAAAGGUCACAGCCUUGAAAACUCUACGGAGCAGUUCUACUCUGCACACUCGGGGUUGCCCUCAGUCAGAAUUGACUCAAUGGCAACUAACAACAACAAUAAUAAUUUAGGGAAAGACAGCAAGUUGAAUUGUUCUUUAUUAUGUCACUCUCAUAUGUGGCAACUGUCAUAGGAUUAGAUUUCCAAAUAGUUACAUAAUCCCAACCCAAACUAUAACAGUGCACAAGUGAUUUAAAGAUGGAAUUCCUUGUACUGUAUGAAGAGAAAAAAUCCCAAGCAAAUGGCCAGUCCAAUCAGUUGCUUUCCUUCUAAAGGAGUAUCUUCUUAGACUAGUUUGAACUGCCUUAAAAAAAUUAAAAAAAAAUUUUUUUUUAAUAGGUAUUCAUAAUAAAAUUUUUUUUUCAUUACAUGACAAUGUUAAAAUCAUUAUGAAGGCUAAUUUUCUAUUUGAUCUUAUUCAGGUUAACCCCCCCUACUAAGGUUGUCCACUAAUCUCAUUUCUUGUACCUUAUUUUAGCAGUAUUGUUAUAGUAUGAUCAGUGAAAUCAAUUUAUUUUACCUGUAAAAUACUGGGUGAAUAUUUGCUCUGUCACUCUGACAGCUGUCUCUACAAUCUCCCCUCUCCUUUCCUCCAUCACUCAUAAGAGAUGCCAUGCUUCCCAGAGAUAAUGGAGUCUAUUUGGUUUUUUUUUUUAUUUGGUAGGCACCCUCAACUCCUUGUACCCUCACCUCACCUAUUUACCGAAUUUCCUCUCCUGCACUCUUCCCCUCUCUUAAUAGAAGAGGUAGUCCCUCUGUGUUCUGGACUGCAUCUGCUCACAGUAAUUUACUUGCCAUAUAAUUAACACAUUUGAAGUGUACAAUUCAGUGGUUUUUAGUAUAUUCACAGAAUUGUGCAACCAUUACCACAGUCAAUUUUAGAAAAUUUUCAUUACCUUGAAAAGAAACUCUGUACCCAUUAGCAGUCACUCCCCAUUUCUCCCCAGUACUCCAUCUCCAACCCUAUGCAACCACUAAUCCACUUUCUGUCCCUAUAGAUUUACCUAUUUUGAAUAUUUCAUAUAAAUGGAUUCAUAUUGUAAUAUGUGUUUUUUUUUGUGUCUAGCUUCUUUCACUUAACAAAGUUUUCAAGCUUCAUCUCUGUUGCAGCUCAUUCACUACUUCAUUCUUUUAUAUUGCCAAAUAUUUCAUUUUAUGCCUAUUCCACAUUUCAUCUGUUCAGUCAUCAGUUGAUGGAUGUUUGGGUUGUUUCCACUUUUUGGCUGUUAUGAAUAUUGCUGCUAUGAGCAUUUGUACGUUUUUGUAUGGACAUAUAUUCUCAUUUCUCUUGGGUAUGUACCUAGGAAUGGAACUGCUGGGUCAUAGGGUGGCGCAAAUGGUUAAGUGUUCAAAUUACUAAUCAAAGUUAGUGGUUUGAACCCAGCCAGAGGCACUGCAGAGGAUGAAAGCUGGCACUCUGCUUCUGAAAGGUCACAGCCUUGAAAACUGUAUGGAACACAGUUGUACUCUGCAACACAUGGGGUUGCCAUGACUUGGAAUGAACUUGAAGGCAACUAUUUUUUUUUUUAAUUCUACUUUAGAUGAAGGUUUACAGAACAGACUAGCUUCUCAUUAAACAAUUAGUGCACAUAUUGUUUUGUGACAUUGGUUGCCAGCCCCUUGUCAACGCUCUUCCCUUCUCGACCUUGAGUUCCAUAUUACCAGCUUCCCUGUCCCCUCCUGCCUUCUCAUCCUUGCCCCUGGGCCGGUGUGCCCAUUUAAUCUCAUUUUAUGGGCCUCUCUAAUCUUUGGCUGAAUGGUGGACCUCAGGAGUGACUUUAUUACUGAGCUGAAAGUAUCUGGAGGCCAUACUCGUGGGGUUUCUUUAGUCUCUGGCAGACCGAUGAGUCUGUUUUUUUUUUUUUUUGUUGAGUUAGAAUUUCAUUCUACAUUUUUCUCCAGCUCUGUCUGGGACCCUCUGUUGUGAUCCCUGUCAGAGCAGUGUUGGCCGGGCGCCAUAUAGUUGUGCUGAACUCAGUCUGGCUGAGGUUGUGGUAGUGGUGAUCCAUUAGUCUUUUGAACUAAUCUUUCCCUUGUGUCUUUAGUUUUCUUCAUUCUCCUUUGCUCCACAUGGAGUGAGACCAGUGGAGUAUCUUAGAUGGCCGCUCACAAGCUUUUAAGACCCCAGAUGCUCCUCACCAAAGUAGAAUGUAGAAUAUUUCUUUAUAAACUGUGUUACACCAAUUGGGCUAGAUGUUGCCUGAGAUCAUGGUCCCUACAGCCCUCAGCCCAGCAAUUAGGUCCCUCAGGGAGUUUGGAUGUGUCUAUGGAGCUUCCUUGACCUGAAGGCAACUUUUUUUUUUUUUUUUUAAUGUAACUCUGUGUUUAACCACUUGUGAAACUGCCAGACUGUUUCUUAAAGCAGCUGCGCUAUUUUACAUUCCUGCUAACAGUGUAUGAGGUCUCCAAUUUCUCUACAUCCCCCUCAACACUUGUUAUUAUCUGUCCUUUUGAUUAUAGCUGUCCUAGUGGAUGAGAAACAGCAUUUUAUUGUGGUUUUUAUUUUUAUUUCCCUGAUGGCUAUCGAUGUUCAACAACUUUUCAUGUGCUUAUUGGCUAUUUGUGUAUUUCCUUUGGAGAAAUACUUAAUCAGAAACCGACCUUUUAAAAAUUGGAUUAUUUGUCUUUUUAUUGUUGAGUUGUAAGGGUUCUUUGUCUAUUCUAGAUAUUAGACCUUUAUCAGAUACAUGGUUUGCAAAUAUAUAUAUAUAUAUUUAUUUUUUCUGUAUACUACUGGAUUGUUUUUUCACAUUCUUGAUGGUGUCACUUGAAGCAUAAACAUUUUUAAUUUUGGUGAUGCCCAGUUUAUCUUUUUUUGUUGUUGUUGUUGUUGCUUGUGCUUUUGUUAUCGUAUCUAAGAAACCAUUGCUUAAUCGAAAGUCACAAAGAUUUAUACUUAUGUUUUUUUCUAAGAGUUAUAUAGUGUUAGCUCUUAUAUUUAGAUCUUGGAUCCAUUUUUUACUUAAUUUUUGAAUACGGUGUGAGGUAGUGGUGCAACUUCAUUCUUUUGCAUGUGGGUAUAUCUAAUUGUCUCAGCACCAUUUGUUGAAAAAAGACUAUCCUUUCCCAAUUGUCUAAGCACCCUUGUUGAAAAUCAAUUGACCAUAAAUGUAAAGGCUUACUUCUGGACUCUCAAUUAUAUUCCAUUGAUCUAUAUGUCUUAUGCCAGUACACACUGUCUUGAUUACUGUUGUUGUUGUCGUUAGGUGCCGUUGAGUUGGCUCUUACUCAUGGCCGGUACUGCGCCAUCCUUAUAAUCGUUGUUAUGCUUGAGCCCAUUGUUGCAGCCACAGUGUCAGUACACCUUGUUGAGGGUCUUCCUCUUUCCCGCUGACCCUGUACUUUGUCAAGCAUGGUAUCCUUCUCCAGAGACUGAUCCCUCCUGACAACAUGUCCAAAGUAUGUAAGACGCAGUUUUGCCAUCCUAGCUUCUAAGGAGCAUUCUGGUUGUACUUCUUCCAAGACAGAUUUGUUUGUUCUUCUGGCAGUCCAUGGUAUAAUCAAUAUUCUUCGCUAACACCAUAAUUCAAAGGCAUCAAUUCUUCUUCGGUCUUCCUUAUUCAUUGUCCAGCUUUCACAUGCAUAUGAGGCAAUUGAAAAUACCAUGCCUUGGGUCAGGUGCACCUUAGUCUUCAAGGUGACAUCUUUGCUCUUCAACACUUUAAAGAGAUCCUUUGCAGCAGAUUUACCCAAUGCAAUGCAUCUUUUGAUUUCUUGACUGCUGCUUCCAUGGGUGUUGAUUGUGGAUCCAAGUAAAAUGAAAUCCUUGACAACUUCAGUCUUUUCUCUGUUUAUCAUGAUAUUGCUCAUUGGUCCAGUUGUGAGGAUUUUUGUUUUGGGUUAUGUUGAGGUGCAAUCCAUACUGAAGGCUGUGGUCUUUGAUCUUCAUUAGUAAGUGCUUCGAGUCCUCUUCACUUUCAGCAAGAAAGGUUCUGUCAUCUGCAUAACGCAGGUUGUUAAUGAGUCUUCCUUCAAUCCAGAUGCUCCAUUCUUCUUCAUAUAGUCCAGCUUCUCGGAUUAUUUGCUCAGCAUACAGAUUGAAUAGGUAUGGUGAAAGAAUACAACCCUGGUGCACACCUUUCCUGACUUUAAACCAUGCAGUAUCCCCUUGAUUACUGUAGCUUUGUGUUAAGUUUUGAAAUCAGAAAGUAUGAGUUCUCCAGGUUUAUUCUUUUUCAAAAUUAUUUUGGCUAUUCUGGGCCCCUUGAAUUUCCACAUGAAAUUUAGGGCCUACUGAAUCAUCUACAAAUAAACAUGCUCUUAUCUCUCCGAAGUUGAAAAAUGUAUCUUUAAUUCUUUCUCCCUGGAAAUGGCAUCCUAACCUCUCUUCUUCAAGAUAGGUAAAACUAUUGAAAGAGUGUUCUACGUUGUCUAUCCCUGUUCCUCUAUCUUGCAUUCACUACAACAGUUUUUUUUUUAAUCUCCACGUUCCACUGAAACUUCUGGCAAGCCUCCAGUGAUAGCUUUGUUGCUAAAACCAGUGGGUGUUUUUUCUCUCUUGAUCUUAAUGGAGCUGUCUGCAGCAUUUGAUGACAUUGAUUACUCUUUCUUUUAAAGCUUUAAAAUAAUAGUUUUAUUAUUUUUGAAGAGAUGACAACAUACUCUUAGCUUAAAAAAAUAUUUAAACAGUAGUGAAAGUUGUGCAGUAGAAAGGAGAAAAUAAAGGUCCAAUCUGAAAUUCCCACCAUCUGUUAGUAUUUUGGAAAACUGCUUUCUUAGCCACUUUUUAUGCUUAAAUACUCACACACACACACACACACACACACACACACACAUGCCUUACAUAAAUGGAUUGAUUUUAUACAUGAUAUUGUAUAACCAAAAAUCAUUAAAAUUUCCUGAUAAUUUGUUACACUAUUUUGUAUCGCAUUUCUUCCAGUGGCAAAGUGAAUAAAGUAAAACGUUUUUUCUUUAUCAUUACUUAAUGAGAUCUCUGUCAUCUGGCUUUGGAAGAUUGAAUCCUAUAUAGUUAGUGAUGCUAGAAUAGAAGGUACCAGUAAUGCUCAGUGGUGAAGACUAAUAUGGGGGCCCUUAUUCAGGAUUUCUUUUUUCUUCCAAGGAAGAUUUUAUUUAGCAAAAUUAUUUCUGUCAAGCAGAUAAGCAGAGUAACAUAUUUAAAGGAUUUAGUGAUGCCAAAUUCUUGAAUAACCUUACACGAGAUCGUUCUCUCUCUGUUCCAAAGCUUAGUGGCGUCUUCAAAAAAAAAAAAAAAAACCAAACCCAUUGCCAGCCCGAGUCCAACUCAUAACGACCCUAUAGGUCAGAGUAGAACUGCCCCAUAGGAUUUCCGAGGAGUGCCUGGUGUAUUCGAACUGCCGAUCAUUUGGUUAGCAGCUGUAGCACUUAACCACUUUGCCACUAGGGUUUCCAAUGGCAUCUUACUCAUAUAUAUAUAUAUAUAUAUAUAUAUAUAUAAUCAGGCAUGGAGUUUAUUAUUAUUUAUAUUUUAUUUUUGAUGAAAAUAUGCAUAGCAGAACCCCCACUCCAUUUCACAGUUUCUAGACAUAACGAUCAGUGACAUUAGUCACAUUCUUCACAUUCUUCACGUUGUGUCAACAUUCAUGUUGUUUCUGUUCUAUUUGUUUCAUUCCCAUUACCUUAAACUCCCUGUACCCCAACCUUCUCAUCUAUGCUUUAAAAGGACUCAAUACUCAAGGGUGAGAAUCUGUAGUUUAAAGCUAAACUAUUACUUAGUUUAAAGGUGACUUUAGGGGAUAGUUUCAAGGUUUGAAGAGUAACUCAGGGCCAUAGCCUUGGGGACUCCUCCAGCCUCAAUAGGUCCAGUAAAUCUGAAUUAUUUAAGAAUUUGAAGUUCUGUUCCACAUUUUUCUCCCCUUCUCUCGAGAUCUAUCUAUUGUGUCUCUGUUCAGAACGCCUGGUAUUGGUAGCCGGGCACUACCUUGCCCAGAAUUUUUGUCUUUGCUUUUCUUAGCCUGACUCUUGGCACUUGACUAGGUGCUGGAUUCAGAUUCAGCUAACUUCUAAUGAGUUUUGCAUCAGUUUUCUUUUUUUUAGUUUGGUAAUUCUGUUUUUUUAAUUUUUAUUUUGCUUUAAAUGAAAGUUUACAAAUCACGUCAGUCUCUCAUACAAAAAUUUAUAUACACCUUGCUAUAUACUCCUAGUUGCUCUCCCUGUAAUGAGACAGCACACUCCUUCUCUCCACUCUCUAUUUUUGUGUCCAUUCAGCCAGCUUCUGACGCCCUCUGCUCUCUUGUCUCCCCUCCAGACAGGAGCUGCCCAUAGUCUCAUGUGUUUACUUGAUCCAAGAAUCUCACUCCUCACCAGUAUCAUUUUCUAUCCCAAAGUCCAGUCCAAUCCCUGUCUGAAGAGUUGGCUUUAGGAAUGGUUCCUUUCUUGGGCUAACAGAAGUUUUGGGGACCGUGAUCUCUGGGGUCCUUCUAGUCUGAGUCAGCCCAUUAAGUCUGGUCUUUUUACAAGAAUUUGGGGUCUGCACCCCACUGCUCUCCUGCUUUCUCAGGGGUUCUCUGUUGUGUUCCCUGUCAGGGCAGUCAUCGGUUGUAGCCGAGCACCAUCUAGUUCUUCUGGUCUCAGGCUGAUGCAGUUUCUGAUUUAUGUGGCCCUUUCUGUCUCUUGGGCUCAUAAUUACCUUGUCUUUGGUGUUCUUCAUUCUCCUUUGGUGCAGGUGGGUUGAGACCAAUUGAUGCAUCUUAGAUGGCCACUUGCUAGCGUUUAAGACCCCAGACACCACUCUCCAAAGUGGGAUUGCAUCAGUUUUCUAUUACCACAUAACAAACCACCCUAAACUUAGUACGUGGUAGAAAACAGCAAUAAUCUUUGUUAUCUUCCAUGGUUCUGGGAGUAGUAUAGACUCAGCUGCGCAGUACUGUUUAAGUUCAGCAAGUCACAGAGGCCCACACAUGAAUGAGGAAAGGGGACGUAGACUCUACCUCUUGUUGGGGGAGUGGCAGGGUUCUGAAAGAACAUGUGGGAUGGGAAAUAUUGUCGUAGCCAUUUUUGGAAAAUACAAUCUUCCACAAACCUCUAUUAUACAUCAGUCACUGUUUUAGGUAUUUUCUAGACAUUGUCAAACAUAUCGUCUCAUUAAGCCUUACUGCCUCUCCUUUUUUUCCCCUGCUACCCCUGUAGUAUAUAAACCAUCAUCAUGUCUUACGUGGUCUGUUGAAAAAAACCUCAUAACUGUUCUCUGUUUCCAUUUUUGCUCACUAAAAUCCAUUUUCUACUAGCCACCCAACUGAGCUUUAAAAAAAAAAAAAGAAGAUUGUGUCACUCCCUUACAUAAAUUCCCUGGUGACUUUAGGAAAAAUCCAAACUCUUUACUGUGACUUACAGGGCAUUUGUGAUUGACUUCUGUUUCUGUAGUUCUCCCUUUGCUGUCCACUCUCCAUUCACUGUGGCUUUGUUCUAUUUCUGAAGCAUGGCAAACUUGUUCCUGCCUCAGGGCCUUUGCAUAAGUUUUCUGGCUCAUUGAACUAGUCUUAAUCCAGGUCAUAGCAUGGCUGAUUCCUUCUUGUCCUGCAGGUCUUCAUUCAGAUGUCACUGCUCGGAGAGGCUUUUUCAUAACAACCUAUCUGAAGCAGCUCUUACCCUCAGUCACUAUUGCAAUGAUUUUGUUUCCUUUUUUCAUGACAUUUAAGUAAGCGCCAUGAGAACAGAGACUGCAAUCACUGUUGUAGAUAUUUUUUACAUAUUGCCAAACAUAGUGUCUCAUUAAGCUUCACUGUCUCUCCCAUUUUUCCUUGCUGCCACUAUAGUAUAUAAACCACUAUCAUGUUCUCGCCUCCUAACUGUUCUCUCUGUUUCAGUUUUUGCUCGCAAAAAUCUGUUUUCUACUAGCUGCCCAAGUGAGCUUAAAAACAACAAAAAAGAUCAUGUUACCCACUUACACUGGCACUUAGUGGGUGCUCAAUAAAUAUUUAUGGAAUGAACAAUAUUGUGAAGUAGUUGAUAUUCCCUUCAUGUAAUUAAGAAAUUGAGACUUAAGAAGAUCACACAGUCCUACUUGUAUGAUCAAGUCUUAUAACUCCAAAUUGAAUGCUCUUUCUACCAUAGGAUUUUGGAUUAUGUUAGCAGUGAUUAAAAUGAUGAUAAACCCAAGUUAUUACUAGUCUGCUGAGAAGUGAUAAUCUAUCUCAUUAUCACAAUGAAAUGCACAUUUUUCUGCAUAGGCCUUUUUUUUUUUUAUCUUCAGCAAGCUUUAUUUUGCUUGAGUCAAGCAAAAGGAGUCAGCGGGGAUCUAAGCCUCUCCAAAAGACUGACUCGAAAAGGGAAGCAAGGCUAAGGCUUAUAUGCAUUCGGUGGAGACAAUAGAGUAAUGAAUAUUUAGUGGGCUUCUUUCAAGGGGUGGGUACUUCUCAGAAUGGCAAUGCAUGUUAAUUAGGUUGUGCGCGCAUCUGGAAUCCAAGAUGGAACCUGCUGAUGUUCAAGAUGGAGUCCUCUUGGCAGCCCUUGACAUCAUUUAUUAUGGGAUAUAGUGCAAGCGCGCUGAUCUUUGGCACUACAUCACCAUCUUCAGAGGGCUAAGGAAGGUUAAACAGCGGUCACACUUUGUUCUUCUGUGCAUGUGGGAGUCUGUAAAGAGGGAAGGGACUAGAAAAACACUAGGAAGGAAAUAGUAAUUCACUGGUUGUUUCAGCUAUAUCUCAUGUUGACAGGGUGUGGUUCCUGUUUACCCAACUUCUAGAUGGUACUCUUUUAACAACUUUUUUGUUCCGCCAGCACAGUUAACCCUAUCUGUCACAGUCCCCCCUGAGAGAUUUCAUACUCAUGAUUCUUUAUGAGGGUGUAGGGGUGGAGGUCUCUUCUUCUGUAACUUCUUCAAGCUGACACCGGGUUGUUGUGCAUAGGCCUUUUUAAAAGGUAAUGUAAACUGCAUUGAUUAAUCCUUAAAAAGUAAGGAAUCCCUUUAAAUCUAAGAUGUAAAAUAGGGACUUAACGUCAUCCCUACUGUAAUGCCAGGGAUAAACAAAGGGCUCUGCCACUCCUGUUCCAAUUUACUGAAAGCCUACUAGAAGGGCACGGGGGAGGGGGUGCAGAUACUAAGCCUUAGAAUGGGUUGAGUGAUGGGUUUUAUAUAUUCAUAUGGCAUGAGCACAGGAAGAUAGUGGCAACUUCUCAAAGAGAAUUCUACCUUGAAAUUUUAGUAACCCAGAAGGAAGAGUAAGUAUAAAUAUCUGAUAAGUAAUAUACAUGAUUAACCCACCGUUUUGUACUCUUUUUACCUCUUAACUUCUGCCUUCAUUUAUUUUUUUAGAAACCCAUAAAUUUUGAAGUAAAGUUUGACCUGAUAAAGAAGGAGUGUUUUUAAAUUUCCUUUUUUAGAAGUAUUUUUUUCGUGGUUGUAAAAGUAAAAUAUGUUUGUUGUAGAUCAUUAACUUCUUAAGCCUUUGAAAGUACCUUAAACCCUUUGGCAUAGCUAUUGAAUUUACGACUUACUUCCUUAUUCUGUCUCAUAAUUCUACUUUCUUUUAGCACCAACAUUUAGGAGAAAUUCUUUAAGAAAAUAAUUUCUUACACAAUUAUAUGGUUUCUUGUUCUGUUUGAAUUUAUAACAAUAUAUUUCCUGUCUUGAUAUUCACAUACUGUAUUUCAAGUGCCUUUUUUAGCUAAUCUAGUAACCAUUUUUAAAUUUCUUGCAAAAAUCUGUUUUGAGUUUGAACCCCAAGUUUGACAAGGAGGUUUUGGAACAUAGCCCCAUUCUAAAUUGAGACCUAUAGUAUGUGUCUUGGAACAAGGACUAAGAAUCCAAAAUUCCAUGGUUCUAGCUGUUGUUAUUGCUAACUAGACCAUUUAAUUUGUGUUAUCAUAUCUUCUUUAGAUUUUUCAAGUGGUCUUCUUGCUGCCUUUCUUUUUAAUGAAUUUCUUAUUAUUUUCAGCCUUGAGUCUUCCACAUAAGGAAAAUUGUCCUUGAGCAUUUUUGAUAAUUUUUUUUUUUUUUGAUAGAGAUGUGAAAUUGAGUGAUUAUAAUGGAUUAACUGGAAAAGUAGUUUAUCAUUUCAAAGUUUGGUGGGAGAAGUACUACUAUUCAUGGCCAAACCACCCAGAGUUUAGCACUCCCUCCAUCAUUUCCUUUAAUCAACUUCUGUGGAAAAACAACAGUUAUUUAGUCUUUUGGGCAGUAUUUCAGAACAAAACAAAAAUAGAAAAUCUGCAAUGAGGUCUAGCAUAUAUUAUUAAUUAUUAAUUGCUGUAAAUAAUUUAUAGAACUUAGGUUACUAUUUAGUAUUUAACAUUUAACUUCAGAAAGGAUGUAGCGACCCCAAAUCAUCAUGUCUGUGCUUAAAUGAACCGUGUGAAAAUGGUUCUCUCCACUGAUCUCUUGGCCUGAAAUUCUGAUUUGAAGAAUCAGAAAAAUUGUCCUUUUUAAGAAAUAGGGAAAGACCUGGGACUUACAACAUAAUAGAUUACUAAAUCAAAGUACAAGUCCAUAUCUUUCACCUGGAAUUCUGAAAUAUUUAAAGCUCUGAAUUCUACAAGUUUUUUUCUUAGAUUUAUGAUAUACGCAUUAGGAAGCAAAACCUGUCUUGAACCGAUGUGUGACUACUUAAAGCCUUUAUCACACUGCAGUUACUGAUGAAGAUCAAAGACUAUAGCCUUCAGUGUGGGUUACACCUCAAAAGAAAGAAAACAAAAAUCCUCACAGCUGAACCAAUAAGCAACAUCAUGAUAAACGGAGAAAAUAUUGAAGUCGUCAAGGAUUUCAUUUUAGUUGGAUCCACAAUCAAUGCCUAUGAAAGCAGCAGUCAGGAAAUCAAAAAACGUAUUGCCUUGGGCAUAUCUGCUGCAAAAGACUCCUUUAAGGUGUUGAAAAGCAAAGAUGUCACUUUGAGGACUAGUGGGCGCCUGAACUAAGCCAUAGGGUUUUCAGUCACGUCAUAUGCCUGCGAAAGCUGGACAGUGAAUAAGGAAGACUGAAGAUUUGGUGCUUUUGAAUUAUGGCGUUGGCGAAUAACCUGUCUUGGAAGCAGCAACCAGAGAGCUCCUUAGAAGCGAGGAUGGUAAGAUUUUGUCUCCUGUACUUUGUACAUGUUAUCAGGAGAGACCAGUCCCUGGAAAAGGACACCAUGCUUGGUAAGGUCAGUGAAAAAGAGGAAGACCUUCGAUGAGAUGAAUUGACAUAGUGGUUGCAACAAUGGAAUCAAAGAUAGCAAGGAUUGUGAGAGUGGCACAGGACCAGGCAGUGUUUUAUUCUGUUGUACCUAGUAUUGCUAUGAGUUGGAACCAGCUCAACAGCACCUAUCAACAACAAAAAUCACAUUUAGUUAAAUAUAUAUUGUACUGCAAAAAUGUUCAUACACUUAAUUACAAAAAUAAUAUGCUUGAUUACCCAGACCCUGCUGAAGGUAUGACAUGGUUUAUAUAUCAUACGUAUUACUUUCUAAAAUUGUGAAUUCCAAAACAUAUCCUACCUAAAGAUCUCGGAUAAUGGAUUGUGGACCUGUAUUUUUGAUCUUAGUGAUGUAGGUGUUUGUAUGCCAGAAAUAAUUCAGUCCCUUUGAGAGACUGCUGAGAGGCUUUACAGGGUGACAUUUACUUGUUCACAAGGAUUGCUGAUUUGACACUCAGCUUUGUCGCUCAGAAAACUUGUAAAGGAGACUUAAAUUAUCCAGUCUCAUAAAAAAAAAAAUUUUUUUUUUUACUUUUUUUUCCCUAUAGUGACUUUGGUAUAUGCAUGGUCUUUGGAGUCAGACAUGUGUUCAAAUCUUAUCUCUCCUGCUUACUAUCUGUGAGUCCACGGACAAGUUUCCUAAUCUUUCUGAGCCUUUGAUUCUUUAUUUAUAAAAUGCGUUUAAAAAAAAAUACCUAUAUCUUAAGAUCAUUGUGAGAAAUAAAAUAGUGUUUAAAGCACUAGUAUACUGUCUGGCAUAUAGUACCAAACCAACCCAAACCCACUGCUGUCAAGCUGAUUCCAACUCAUAGCGACCCUUAUAGGACAGAGUAGAACUGCCCCAUAGGGUUUCCAAGGCUGUAAAUUUAUUUAUUUAUUUAUUAACUUUUAUUGAGCUUCAAGUGAACGUUUACAAAUCAAGUCAGUCUGUCACAUAUAAGUUUAUAUACAUCUUACUCCUUACUCCCACUUGCUCUCCCCCUAAUGAGUCAGCCCUUCCAGUCUCUCCUUUCGUGACAAUUUUGCCAGCUUCCAACUCUCUCUAUCCUCCCAUCCCCCCUCCAGACAGGAGAUGCCAACACAAUCUCAAGUGUCCACCUGAUAUAAUUAGCUCACUCUUCUUCAGCAUCUCUCUCCUACCCACUGUCCAGUCCCUGUCAUGAGUUGUCUUCGGGAAUGGUUCCUCUCCUGGGCCAACAAAAGGUUUGGGGACCAUGCCCGCUGGGAUUCCUCUAGUCACAGUCAGACCAUUAAGUAUGGUCUUUUUAUGAGAAUUUGGGGUCUGCAUCCCACUGUUCUCCUGCUCCCUCAGGGGUUCUCUGUUGUGCUCCCUGUCAGGGCAGUCAUCGAUUGUGGCCGGGCACCAACUAGUUCUUCUGGUCUCAGGAUAAUGUAGGUCUCUGGUUCAUGUGGCCCUUUCUGUCUCUUGGGCUCUUAGUUGUCGUGUGACCUUGGUGUUCUUCAUUCUCCUUUGAUCCAGGUGGGUUGAGACCAAAUGAUGCAUCUUAGAUGGCCGCUUGUUAGCAUUUAAGACCCCAGAUGCCACAUUUCAAAGUGGGAUGCAGAAUGUUUUCAUAACAGAAUUAUUUUGCCAAUUGACUUAGAAGUCCCCUUAAACCAUGGUCCCCAAACCCCCGCCCUUGCUCCGCUGACCUUUGAAGCAUUCAUUUUAUCCCGGAAACUUCUUUGCUUUUGGUCCAGUCCAAUUGGGCUGACCUUCCAUGUAUUGAGUGUUGUCCUUCCCUUCACCUAAAGCAAUUCUUAUCUACUAAUUAAUCAGUAAAAAACCCCUCCCUCCCUCCCCGCCUCGUAACCACAAAAGUAUGUGUUCUUCUCAGUUUAUACUAUUUCUCAAGAUCUUAUAAUAGUGGUCUCAUAUUUGUCCUUUUGCCUCUGACUGAUUUCCCUCAGCAUAAUGCCUUCCAGGUUCCUCCAUGUUAUGAAAUGUUUCACAGAUUGGUCACUGUUCUUUAUCAAUGCGUAGUAUUCCAUUGUGUGAAUAUACCACAGUUUAUUUACCCAUUCAUCCGUUGAUGGACACCUUGGUUGCUUCCAGCUUUUUGCUAUUGUAAACAGUGCUGCAAUAAACAUGGGUGUGCAUAUAUCUGUUUGUGUGAAGGCUCUUGUUUCUCUAGGGUAUAUUCCGAGGAGUGGAAUUUCUGGGUUGUAUGGUAGUUCUAUUUCUAACUGUUUAAGAUAACGCCAGAUAGAUUUCCAAAGUGGUUGUACCAUUUUACAUUCCCACCAGCAGUGUAUAAGAGUUCCAAUCUCUCCGCAGCCUCUCCAACAUUUAUUAUUUUGUGUUUUUUGGAUUAAUGCCAGCCUUGUUGGAGUGAGAUGGAAUCUCAUCAUAGUUUUAAUUUGCAUUUCUCUAAUGGCUAAUGAUCGAGAACAUUUUCUCACGUGUCUGUUAGCUGCCUGAGUAUCUUCUUUAGUGAAGUGUGUGUUCAUUUCCUUUACCCACUUCUUGAUUGGGUUGUUUGUCUUUUUGUGGUUGAGUUUUGACAGAAUCACGUAGAUUUUAGAGAUCAGGCGCUGGUCGGAGAUGUCAUAGCUGAAAAUUCUUUCCCAGUCUGUAGGUGGUCUUUUUACUCUUUUGGUGAAGUCUUUAGAUGAGCAUAGGUGUUUGAUUUUUAGGAGCUCCCAGUUAUCUGGUUUCUCUUCGUCAUUUUUGGUAAUGUUUUGUAUUCUGUUUAUGCCGCGUAUUAGGGCUCCUAGGGUUGUCCCUAUUUUUUCUUCCAUGAUCUUUAUCAUUUUAGUCUUUAUGUUUAGGUCUUUGAUCCACUUGGAGUUAGUUUUUGUGCUUGGUGUGAGGUAUGGGUCCUGUUUCAUUUUUUUGCAAAUGGAUAUCCAAUUAUGCCAGCACCAUUUGUUAAAAAGACUAUCUUUUCCCCAAUUAACUAACACUGGGCCUUUGUCAAAUAUCAGGUGCUCAUAUGUGAAUGGAUUUAUAUCUGGGUUCUCAAUUCUGUUCCACUUGUCUAUGUGCCUGUUGUUGUACCAAUACCAGGCUGUUUUGACUACUGUGGCUGUAUAAUAGGUUCUGAAAUCAGGUAGAGUGAGGCCUCCCACUUUCUUCUUCUUUUUCAUUAAUGCUUUGCUUAUCCGAGGCUUCUUUCCCUUCCAUAUGAAGUUGGUGAUUUGUUUCUCUAUCACCUUAAAAAAUGACAUUGGAAUUUGGAUCGGAAGUGCAUUGUAUGUAUAGAUGGCUUUUGUUAGAAUAGACAUUUUUACUAUGUUAAGUCUUCCUAUCCAUGAGCAAGGUAUGUUUUUCCACUUAAGUAGGUCGUUUUUAAUUUCUUGUAGUAGAGCUUUGUAGUUUUCUUUGUAUAGGUCUUUUACAUCCUUGGUAAGAUUUAUUCCUAAGUAUUUUAUUCCAAGGCUGUAAAUUUUUCUGGAAGUACAUUGCCUUGCCUCAUCUUUCUCCCACAGAGCAGCUGGUGGGUUUGAACCACCGAUCUUUCGGUUAGCAGUUGAAUGUUUUAGCCACUUUGCUACCAGGGCUCCUUUUAGCAUAUAAUAAGUGCUUAAUAACUGUUAAUUUUUGAAAAAGCUAAAGUUUAUGACACUGUUUAACAAAGAAGAUAUUUAAUAUAUGUAGCUUAUGAUCGCUAUUAUAUAAACUAGUAUCCGAAUUUACUAAUUCAUAAUGGCAUAUAUAACUGUUAAGAAGACUGUGUUGUUUGCGGCCAUCAAGUUGGUUCCAACUCAACAGAAUGAAACACUGCCUGGUCCUGUGCCAACCUCACAAUCAUUGCUAGGUUUGAGCCCAUUGUUGACAGGCACUGUGUCAAUCUAUCUCACUGAGGGUCUUCCUCUUUUUCUUUGAUCCUCGACUUUACCGAGCAUGAUGUCUUCCAGGGACUGGUCCCUCCCAAGAACAUGUCCAAAGUAUGUGAGAUGAAGUCUCUCCAUCCUCGCUUUUAAGGAGCAUUCUCGCUGUACAUCCUCCAAGACAGACUUGUUUGUUCUUCUGGCAGUCCAUGGUAUCUUCACUAUUAUUUGCCAACACCGUAAUUUAAAGCCAUCAAAUCUUCAGUAUUCCUUAUUCAUUGUCUUUGCAUAGUCGAUAAAACACAGGUAAACAUUUUUCUGGUAUUCUUUGCUUUCAGCCAAGAUGCAUCUGACAUAAGCAGUGAUACCCCUUGUUCCACAUCCUCUUUGGAACCUGGCUUGAGUUCCUGGCAUUCCCUGUCUGUUUAGGGCUGUAACCAUUGUUGAAUUAUGUUCAGCAAAAUUUUACUUUGUGUGAUAUUAAUGAUAUUGUUCGAUAGUUUCCAUGUUGUAUUGGAUUACCUUUCUUUGGAAUAAGCACAAAUAUAGAUCUCUUCCAGUUGGUUGGCCAGGUAGCUGGCUUCCAAAUUUGUUGGCAUAGUGAGCAUCUCCCAACACUGUGGUAGUUUGUUGAAAAUCUCAGUUGGUAUUCUGUCAAUUCUUGGAGCCUUGUUUUUCGCCAGUGCCUUCAGUGCAGUUUGGACUUCUUUCCUUGGUACCAUCAGUUCCUGAUCAUAUGCUACCUCCUGAAAUGGUUGAACGUCAACCAGUUCUUUUUGGUACAGUGACUUUGUGUAUUCCUUCCAUCUUCUUUUGAUGCUUCCUGCAUCAUUCAAUAUUUUGCCAGUAGAAUCCUUCAGUAUUACCACUUGAGGCUUGACUUUUUUCUUCAGCUCUUUCAGCUUGACAAAUUUCGAGGAUGUUCUUUCCUUUUGGUUUUCUAACUCCAGGUCUUUGUACAUUUUUUAUAAUACUGUACUUCGUCUUCUCAAGCUGCCCUUUGAAAUCUUCUGUUCAGCUCUUUCACUUAUCAUCUCUUGCGUUUGCUUUAGCUACUGAGCAUUUCAAGAUCAAGUUUUAGAGUCUCUUCUGACAUCCACUUUGGUCUUUUUUUUUUCUUAGUGACUUUUGUUUUCUUCAAAUAUGAUGUUCUUGAUGUCAUCCCGCAACUCAUCUGGUCUUCAGUCAUUAGUGUUCAGUGUGUCAAAUCUAUUCUUGAGAUGGUCUCUAAAUGCAGGUGGGAUAUACUCAAGGUUGUACUUUGGCUCUUGUGGACUUGUUUUAGUUUUAUUCAGCUUCAGCUUGAACUUGCAUAUGACCAAUUGAUGGUCUGUUCCACAGCCAUUCCCUGGCCUUGUACUGACUGAUGAUAUUGAGCUUCUCCAUCGUCUCUUUCCACGGAUGUAAUUGCUUUGAUUCCUGUGUAUCCCAUCUCGCAAGGUCCAUGUGUUUAGUUGCUGUUUAUGUUGUUGAAGAAAGGUAUUUGCAAUGAAGAAGUCGUUGGUCUGUAAAAUUCCAUCAUGUGAUCUCCGGUAUCAUUUUCUAUCACCUAGGCCAUAUUUUAACUACCGAUCCUUCUUUGUUUCCAACUUUCACAUUCCAAUCACCAGUAAUUAUUAAUGCAUCUUGAUUGCAUGUUUGAUCGAUUUCAGACUGCACAAGUUGGUAAAAAGCUUCAGUUUCUUCAUCUUGUGCCUUAGUGGUUGGUGUGUAAAUUUCAGUAAUAGUCAUUGUUAUGGAUUGAAUUGUGUCCCCCAAAAAUGUGUGUCAACUUGGCUAGGCCAUGAUUCCUAGUAUUGUGUGAUUGUCUACCAUUUUAUCAUCUGAUGUGAUUUUCCUUUGUGUUGUAAAUCCUACCUCUAAAAUGAUCAAUACCAUAGACAUUAGUGAGCUGACCAGAGGCAGGAUUAGAGGCAGUUAAUGAUUAGAAGCAGUUAUGUUAAUGAGGCAGGUCUCAAUCUACAAGCUUAGAUUGUGUCUUAAAUCAGCCUCUUUUGAGAUAUAAGCAGAGAGACAUGGGGACCUCAUACCACCAAGAAACAAGAGCCAAGAGUAUAGUACAUCCUUUGGAUGUGGAGUCCCUGCUCUACAAAGCUCCUCAACCAGGGAAGAUUGAUGACAAGGACCUUCCCCCAGAGCCAACAGUGAGAGAAAGGCUUCCCCUGGAGCUGGCACCCUGAAUUCGGACUUCUAGCCUCCUAGACUGUGAGAGUAUAAAUUUCUGUCUGUUAAAGCCAUCCACUUAUGGUAUUUCUGUUAUAGCAGCACUAGAGAACUAAGACAGUCAUAUCAGCUGGUCUUCCUUGUAAACACAACCCAGUCUUCCUUGUAGGCAUGUGGAUAUGGAUAUUAUCCUAUCACUGACGUUGUAUUUCGGGAUAGAUCUUGAAAUGUUCAUGAUGAAUGCGAUGCCGUUCCUCUACAAUUUGUCAUUCUUGGCAUGGUAGGCCACGUGAUUGUCUGACUCAAAAUAGGCAAUACCAGUCCAUUUCAGCUCACUCAUGCCUAGGGUACUGAUCUUCAAGCGUUCCAUUUGAUCUUUGACAACUUCUGAUUUUUCUUGAUACCAAACCAAACCCACUGCCGUCGAGUCGAUUCCGACUCAUAGUGACCCUACAGGACAGAGUAGAACUGCCUGAUAGAGUUUCCAAGGAGCGCCUGGAGGAUUUGAACUGCCGACCUCUUGGGUAGCAGCCGUAGCACUUAACCACUACGCCACCAGUGUUUCCUUUUUUGAUACAUACUUUGUAUAUUCCACAUUCUGAUUAUUAAUGGAUGUUUGCAGCUGUCUUUUCUCAUUUUGAGUUGUGCCACAUCAGCAAAUGAAGGUUCUGAAAGCUUUGUUCCAUCCGCGUCAUUAAGAUUGACUCUACUUUGAAGAGGCAGCUCUUCCCCAGUCAUAUUUGGAAUGUCUUCCAACCUGAGGGGCUUAUUUGGCCACUGUAUCAGACAGUGUUCCGUAGCUAUCCACAAGGUUUUCACUGGCCAACUUUUUUCAGAAGUAGCUCGCCAGGUCAUUCUUCCCAGUCUGUCUUAGUCUGGAAGCUCCAUUGAAACCCAUCUACCAUGGGUGACCCUGCUGGUAUUUGAAAUGCCUGUGGCAUAGUUGCCAGCAUCACAGAACAUGCAAGCCACCACAGUAUGACAAGGUGACAGAUGAGUGGUGGAAGAAGACUGUACGGUUAGGUUAUUUGGUUAGUACAUUCAUUCUCUGAAGGCAUACCAUCUAGGAUGCCAAAUUUAUAAGUAGAAGCAGGCCACGGGAAAUUAGUUAUGUGGCAUAGGUAUUUAAUGGCAUCAGAUGUUGCUAUCAAAAUGCAAUAAUUUCUCUUUGUUAUAGAUAUAUUUAUCACCAGAGCUGAACAGAUUUAGAGUUUGUGUCAGCAAAACUUUUGUCACAGCCUUUUGGCUCUGUUAAUACUUUCUGACCCCUACAUGUCUGUCAGUUUUUCGUACUGUGGGGGCUUGCGUGUUGCUGUGAUGCUGGAAGCUAUGCCGCUGGUAUUCAGAUACCAGCAGGGUCACCCAUGGAGGACAGGUUUCAGCUGAGCUUCCAGACUAAGACAGACUAGGAAGAAGCACCCAGCAGUCUACUUCUGAAAAGCACUAGCCAGUGAAAGCCUUAUGAAUAGCAGCAGAACAUUGUCUGAUACAGUGCUGGAAGAUGAGCCCCCCAGGUUGUAAGGCGCUCAAAAGAUGCCUGGGGAAGAGCUGCCUCCUCAAAGUAAAGUCGACCUUAAUGACGUGGAUGGAGUAAAGCUUUCGGGACCUUCAUUUGCUGAUGUGGUAUGACUCAAAAUGAGAAGAAGUAGCUGCAAACAUCCAUUAAUAAUCAGAACUUAGAAUGUAUGAAGUAUGAAUCUAGGAAAAUUAGAGAUUGUCAAAAAUGAAAUGGAACAUGUAAACAUCGAUAUCCUAGGCAUUAGUGAACUGAAAUGGACUGGUAUUGGCCAUUUUGAAUCAGACAAUCAUAUAGUCUACUAUGCUGGGAAUGACAUCUUGAAGAGGAAUGGUGUUGCAUUCAUCAUCAAAAAGAACAUUUCAAGAUCUAUCCUGAAGUACAAUGCUGUCAGUGAUAGGAUAAUAUCCAUACGGGCACAAGGAAGACCAGUUAAUACUACUAUUAUUCAAAUAUAUGCAUCAACCACUAGGGCCAAAGAUGAAGAAAUAGAAGAUUUUUAUCAGCUGCUGCAGUCUGAAAUUGAUCAAACAUGCAAUCAAGAUGCGUUGAUAAUUACUGGUGAUUUUAAUGUGAAAGUUGGAAACAAAGAAGAAGGAUCAGUAGUUGGAAAAUAUGGCCUUGGUGACAGAAACAAUGCUGGAGAUUGAAUGAUAGAAUUUUGCAAGACCAACAACUUCUUCAUUGCAAAUAUGUUCUUUCACCAGCAUAAACAGCAACUAUACACAUGGACCUCGCCGGAUGGAAGACACAGAAAUCAAACUGACUACAUCUGUGGAAAGAGACAAUGGAAAAGCUCAAUAUCAUCAGUCACAACAAGGCCAGGGGCCGACUCUGGAACAGACUACCUGUUGCUCAUAUGCAAGUUCAAGCUGAAACUGAAGCAAAUCAGAGCAAGCCCACGAGAGCCAAUAUAUGACCUUGAGUAUAUCCCACCUGAAUUUAGAGACCAUCUCAAGAACAAACUUGACGCAUUGAACACUGGUGACCGAAGACCAGAUGAGUUUUGGAAUGACAUCAAGGACAUCAUCCAUGAAGAAAGCAAGAGGUCAUUGGAAAGAUGGGAAAGAAAGAAAGAAAAGACCAAGAUGGAUGUUGGAGGAGACUCUGAAACUUGCUCUUGAACGUCAAGCAGCUAAAGCAAAAGGAAGAAUUGAUGAAGUAAAAGAACUGAACAGAAUAUUUCAAAGGGCGGCUCGAGUAGACAAAGUAAAGUAUUAUAAUGACAUGUACAAAGACCUGGAAAUGGAAAACCAAAAGGGAAGAACACACUCGGCGUUUCUCAGGCUGAAAGAACUGAAGAAAAAAUUUAAGCCUCGAGCUGCAACAGUGAGGGAUUCUAUGGGAAAAAUAUUAAAUGACGUAGGAAGCAUCAAAAGUAGAUGGAAGGAAUACAUAGAGUCAUUAUACCAAAAAGAAUUAGUUGAUGUUCAACCGUUUCAAGAGGUAUCAUAUGAUCAGGAACCGAUGGUACUGAAGGAAGAAGUCCAAGCUGCUCUGAAGGCAUUGGCGAAAAACGAGGCUCCAGGAAUUGAUGGAAUAUCAAUUGAGAUGUUUCAACAAACGGAUGCAGUACUGGAGGUGCUCACUUGUCUAUGCCACGAAAUAUGAAAGACAGCCUUCUGGCCAACUGACUGGAAGAGAUCCGUAUUUAUGCCUAUUCCCAAGAAAGGUGAUCCAACUGAAUGAGGAAAUUAUAGAACAAUAUCAUUAAUAUCACAUGCAAGCAAAAUUUUGCUGAAGAUCAUUCAAAAAUGGCUGUAGCAGUAUAUCGACAGGGAACUGCCAGAAAUUCAGGCCAGUUUCAGAAGAGGACGUGGAACCAGGGUUAUCAUUACUGAUGUCAGAUGGAUCCUGGCUGAAAGCAGAGAAUACCAGAAGGAUGUUUACCUGUGUUUUAUUGACUAUGCAAAGGCAUUUGACUGUGUGGAUCAUAACAAAUUAUGGAUAACAUUGGGAAGAAUGGGAAUUCCAGAACACUUAAGCGUGGUCAUGAGGAACCUUUACAUAGAUCAAGAGGCAGCUGUUCACACAGAACAAGGGGAUAGUGCAUGGUUUAAAGUCAGGAAAGGUGUGCCUGAGGGUUGUAUUCUUUCACCAUACUUAUUCAAUCUGUAUGCUGAGCAAAUAAUCCGAGAAGCUGGACUAUAUGAAGAAGAACGGGGCAUCAGGAUAGGAGGAAGACUCAUUAACAACCUGCGCUAUGCAGAUGACAGAACCUUCCUUGCUGAAAGUGAAGAGGACUCGAAGCACUUACUAAUGAAGAUCAAAGACCACAGCCUUCAGUAUGGAUUGCACCUCAACAUAACCCAAAACAAAAAUCCUCACAACUGGACCAAUGAGCAACAUCAUGAUAAACAGAGAAAAGAUUGAAAUUGUCAAGGAUUUCAUUUUACUUGGAUCCAUAAUCAACACCCAUGGAAGCAGCAGUCAAGAAAUCAAAAGAUUCAUUGCAUUGGGUAAAUCUGCUGCAAAGGACCUCUUCAAAGUGUUGAAAAGCAAAGAUGUCACUUUGAAGACUAAGGUGCGGCUGUCCCAAGGCAUCGUAUUUUCAAUCGCAUCAUGGGCAUGUGAAAGCUGGACAAUGAAUAAGGAAGACUGAAGAAGAAUUGAUGCCUUUGAAUUAUGGUGUUGGCGAAGAAUAUUGAAUAUACCAUGGACUGCCAAAAGAACGAACGAAUCUGUCUUAGAAGAAGUACAGCCAGGAUGCUCCUUAGAAGCAAGGAUGGCAAAACUGCAUCUUACAUACUUUGGACAUGUCAUCAGGAGGGAUCAGUCUCUGGAGAAGGACAUCAUGCUUGACAAAGUACAGGGUCAGCGGGAAAGAGGAAGACCCUCAACGAGGUGGAUUGACACCAUGGCUGCAGCAAUGGGCUGAAGCAUAACAACGAUUGUAGGGAUGGUGCAGGACUGGGCAGUGUUUCUUUCUGUUAUGCAUAGGGUUGCUAUGAGUCAGAACCGACUGGAGGGCAUAUAACAACAAUACUUUCUGAUACCGACAUUCUGACUUCUAAGCUAUUCCAUCUCUUAAAGGUGAUCUUGUAUAUCUCUGUUCUCUCUAAGGGAGGGUAGCCUUAUUCUCAGUUCUUUGAGAGACCCGUGACAUCACUGUCACCUGUGUAUUGAUUAUAUGUACUUUCAUAAGGCUGUACCUGUUGAGUAAAUAGGCAACAAAUCUGCUGAAAAUGAGGCAGUCUGUAACUGGGGGGAAGGGAAUGAGGGAGUUAUUGAUAAUAAUUUAAGGGGUGAUUGAUGGGGACAAUUCUUCCACUGUUGUGGGUCUGUGAUUGAAAAGAGUUUUUGUUGGUCCAGCAUUCUGGCAGAAGGGUUACAGUUUUAGGCUAGUUAGUGCUCACAAAGCAGUAACUAGUGAAGGCUCUCUGGUAUAAUAUAUCAGGAUGGCUUGGAGGCUGUGCCUUUCAAAGAAAGGAGGCCACAGUAGUGGGUGUUGUUGCUGUCAUUUCUAUUUUGAAAUUGUUAUGAGCAGUGCAUCUGUGUGGUAUUCUGGCAAGUACUGUUUAUUUAUUUACUUCUGCCACCAUCUGUCUGUCAAUUUGUUUUACUGUGGUGGUUUGUAUGUUUCUUUGAUGCUGGAAGCUAUGCCACCAAUAUUUCAAAUACCAGCAGAGUCAUUUGUGGUUUUCAGAUUUCAGUGGAGCUUCCAGACUAAGAGAGACUAGAAAGAAAGGCCUGGCAAUCUAUAUCUGAAAAUUAACCAAUGAAAACCUUAUGGAUGCACAACAGAACAUUGUCCAACUCGCUUGCUUUGGACACAUCAUUAGGAAGGAUCAGUUGCUGGAGGAGAAUAUCGCAUUUGGUAAAGUAGAAGUAGACUGGAACUGCUAACCUUUCAGUUAGCAGCUGAGUGCUUAACCAUUUGUGACAUUCAGACUCCUUUCUACUGUAUGUUGUUGUAGUGUGCCUUUGAGUCGAUUCUGACUCAAAGUAACCCUAUAGGACAGUGUAGAACUGCCCCAUAGGGUUUCCUGAGCUGUGACCUUUAUGGGAGCAGAUCGUCAGGUCUUUUCUCCUGAGGAGCCACUACUGGGUUUGAUGGUAGGAGACAUGCCUGACAGAAGUUAUGGCCAGAUGAGAAUAGGGUUAGCUUUGUUGUUGUUAGGUGCCGUUGAGUCGAUUCCGACUCAUAUCGACCCUGUGCGCAACAGAAUGAAACACUGCCUGGUCCUGAGCCAUCCUUACGAUCGUUGUUAUGCUCGAGCUCAUUGUUGCAGCCACUGUGUCAAUCCACCUUGUUGAGGGUCUUCCUCUUUUCCGCUGACCCUGUACUCUGCCAAGCAUGAUGUCCUUCUCCAGGGACUGAUCCCUCCUGACAACAUGUCCAAAGUAUGUAAGACGCAGUUUUGCCAUCCUUGCUUCUAAGGAGCAUUCUGGCUGUACUUCUUCUAAGACAGAUUUGUUCGUUCUUUUGGCAGUCCAUGGUAUAUUCAAUAUUCUUCGCCAACACCACAAUUCAAAGGCGUCAGCUCUUCUUCUGUCUUCCUUAUUCAUGUCCAUCUUUCACAUGCACAUGAUGCGAUUGAAAAUACCAUGCCUUGGGUCAGGCGCACCUUAGUCUUCAAAGUGACAUCUUUGCUUUUCAACACUUUGAAGAGGUCCUUUGCAGCAGGUUUACCCAAUGCAAUGCAUCUUUUGAUUUCUUGACUGCUGCUUCCAUGGGUGUUGAUUGUGGAUCCAAGUAAAAUGAAAUCCUUGACAACUUCAAUCUUUUCUCCGUUAAUAAUGAUGUUGCUUAGGUUUAGUAAAAUGAUUAGAGGAUUUGUUUGCUAUAUUUAAGGUAGAGGCAGGAAGGGGCAUAAACCUUGUACUGUCUGUAUGCCAGGCCAAUGCUAAGCGAUUGAUUUACAUUAACUUAGUAAUUGUAAUGAUCCUAUGAGAGCAGGUGAUGCCCUCAUUUUACAAAGAAGGGAACUGAAGCUGAAAAAAUUUAAGUGCCACCCUGCUAGCAUGUUGGCAGGGCUUGAAUUCAAAACCUUACUUCUCCCACUUGAAAACCUAUGUUAUUUCAUUACAUUUGCUUAUCUAUAGGAUAAUAAAAGGUGUGUAUUUAUGGUUAUAAAUUUUUUUCUAAAAUUGUACUUCCUUUUUGUGAAGCAUACUCCUGAGGGAUUGAAACGACUUUGUAAAUUUAAAAUAUUUCACGUGAACAUAUCUAUAGUUCUAGAAGCCUAAAGGCAGACAAUUUUGAGCUUUUCUUAAUUUAUAUUACUUUGAAAUGUAUGCAGCCUGUAUCUCCUUCUGAAGAUGUUUUUUUCUUUUUUAUAAUUUAUUUUUAUUGUUGAGAAUAUACCCAGCAGAACAUACAUCAAUUGAACAGUUUCUACUGUACAAUUCAGUGACACGGAUUGCAUUUCGCUGAGCAGCCAUUCUCACUCUGCUUUUCCAAGUUCUUCUUCUUCCAUUAACAUAAACUCACUGCCCCCUAAAUUUAUUCUGAAGAUGUUUUUUAUGUGAAACACUGAAGUUGAGUUAAAGUUAUAAAAUAUAGCUACAGUGUAACAGGAAACCCUGGUUGCGUAAUGGUUAAGAGCCACAGCUGCUAGCCAAAAGGUAAAGCAGUUCGAAUGUACCAGGCGCUUCUUGGAAACCCUAUGGGGCAGUUCUGGUCUGUCCUACAGGGUCUCUGUGAGUUGGAAUCAACUUGAUAGUAGUGGGUGUUUUGGUUUUACAGUGUAACAAAUCAAGAGGCCCUACUUGUUAACCCUGCUGUGAGAGGCAUUAAACAUUAAACAGAUUUAAGACAGAUAUUCAGCUGAAUAGUUCUCAGUACAUUUUUAAAAUUACCUUUUCCUAGGGAUUUAAAAAAUAACAGGUCAACCACUGUACGUGAUGAGAUCAUUAUGUGCUGUUCUCUUGAGAAUGUGAGUCACUCCUUAUUGCUGUCAUCAUGCUGUUCUGAUUUGGAAUCUUUUAUUUUUGUUAGACUGGUUUCCAGAUACCUAUUUCAGAACCGAUUUCAAAUGUCAUGCUUUACAACAAAUUUUGCUUGACUCUAAUUCUCAGAUGAAAGAAUUUUUUUUCUUCUUCCAACUGCAGAUUGAUAGAUCAGCAGGUUUAGUUAAAAGUAAAAUUCAAGAGCAUCCUUCAGUGAUUAUUGGCUUGUACACAACACAUUUUAGAUAGCACUGGUGGUUGAAGUUGUAUUAUUUUUCUACUUAAUUCUUAUUUACCGGUGGCUUCACUGAUAGCUUCUUGAUGGAUUGCAAGGAUUAUAAUCAAGCAGCAUGAUUUUUGUCUAAAGUGACACCUGUUCACUUUUAACUAGCAUGUGGAUUUGUACUUUGGUGUAUAUGUGUGCGUGCAGUUAGGGAUAAAACGUCUGCCACUCAGUAUAAUAAUGACUUAAAAACAAUAAAAUUCCUAUUUCUUUCAGAAUCUCUGUAAGGUAGAUGACUGCUGCUCUUCUUUUGUGGAAAGGAAAAUUAAAGGAAGAUGAUACGAUUUGUCAACUAGGUUAAACUUUGAAUUUCUCCUUGAUUUUGUUAGUUUGCUGGACAUUUUGCCUUUUUCUCUAAAGGGGGAGGGAGAGAGAGAGGGAGACAGACGGGGGCGGGGGUGCGGAGAGAGAUGGUGAUGGUGACCAUAACCAUCCAGUGCUCUGCGUUAGGUUCAGAUGCACAGGAGAAGACAAGCUAGAGAGCUCAGGCAACAAACAAAAAAGCAAGCAAGCGACAACCAUGACUAGCAUUGUCCGUUAGUUGCCAGCUAACUGCUUUACAUACCUCGUCUCGUGAGUUCUUCCGACAGCUCUGUUUCCCCGUUUCACACAGGAAGACUCGUGCUCAGCUAGGGGCCUCUGUGUGACUUGUCUGAGGUCACACCUGGCACAGCCAGGAUUCAGAGUUUGGCAGGGGGACUUCAGAGCCAGUGCUUUACCGCCUACUGUUUCACCCUGCUUAUUUCACAGAAAGGGAUGGGAGAGGAGCCCAUAACAAGUACCUGGUGGUUUCUGGGUGGUCAGGAGGUUAUUGCUGUGGACAACUGAGGGUAAAGAGAGAGACUCGGAGGGAACAGUUAGAGGGGUAGUGGGAAGAACCGGGACGGAGAGUUUUGAGAAGGAUUAAGACCAGUGUCAAAUGAGACCAAAAGGUCUUUAUAAGGUUAUUUACUCUACAGUUAGCAAAAAGGUUUUGUUUUUGUUUUUUCUUUUUGGCUGCUUAACCCCAUCCUAGAUUCCUUUUCCCCAGGAACGCAUGAAUGUGCUCUUACAUUAUCAGUACUGUUGGCUUGUUAGGCUCUGUUCCUUGGCUCCCUGGGAGCAGCAGUCAGUGCCAAGGUAAAUAUUUAUUUCUAGAUCCACAGAAUGAAUUGAUUUUCACAUUGGCGUGUACUGAAGAAAAUCCAGACGUCCUGAGGUGUUUGCUACCUAGAGCUGUUCAUGCAGUGUUAGUUAGAAUGUUACGGUAUCAGCAUUCCUUAGAAGUUUCUUGGGGGAAAAAAUUACUGGCUUUAAAAAAGGUAAGUGUAAAGCAGGUAUGAAGAUGGUAGUAUAAAGGACAGAGGUUCUUUUCCUUUUGAGACAAACUUAACAGGCUUAAUAACAGCCUAUUAUUAAGUUAGGAAACUUUAUUUGUCCAUGGGCAACUAAUUUAGCAGUUCUACUUUAGUUUUUUAGCCAACAUAAUGGAAAUAAUAGCAGAAGCUUCAGAUUACUGGCUAUUGAGUAAUAGUAUAUUAGCUUAUGGGCUAUAUUUACUGAAAUUUUAAAUGGUCGUCUGCACUUAUAUGUAUCUUCCUUGUCUAUCAUUCAUUUGUUCAACAAAUAUUUUUUGAGUCUCUACAGUGUAAACCAAAAAACCAAACCAGUUGCUGUUGAGUUGAUUCUGACUCAUGGUGACCCCCUGUGUGUAAGAAUAGAACUGUGCUCUAUAGGCUUGCCAGUGGCUGUAGAUCACCAGGCUUUUCUUCUGAGGCACGUCUGGGUGGACUUGAACCUCCAGCCUUUCAGUUAAUAGCUGAGUGCUUAACUGUUUCUGCCACCCAGGGGUUUCUUUCUACAGUAUGUUUUUUUGGGUGCUGUCUAGUCGAUACUGACUCAUAGUGACCCUGUAGGACAGAGUAGAACUGGCCCAUAGGCUUUCCUAAGCUAUAAUCUUUAUGGGAGCAGAUUACCAGGUCUCAUCUCCUGAGGAGCCACUGGUGGGUUUGAACCACCAACCUUUUGGUUACCAGCCCAGCACUUAACCAUUGUGCCACCAGGGCUCAUUUUCUUGUGUAUAAAACCUGUUGCCGUCGAGUCGACUGUGACUUAUAGUGACCCUAAAGGACAGAGUAGAACUGCCCCGUAGGGUUUCAAGGAAUGCCUGGUGAAUUCGAACUGCCGACCUUUUGGUUAGCAUUCGUAGCUCUUAACCACUGCGCUACCAGGGUGGCUGAAGGUCGAACGUCAGGAGUGACUUCAGUACUGAGUUAAAAGGGUGUCUGGGGAUCACCUCACAUUUUCUUAAUUUUAUUUUGGAUUGCUUGUUGUAAGAAUAUGGAAAUAAAACAGACUUUUGUAUAUUGAUCUUAUGUUCUGCAGCUUUGCUGAAGCUGUUUAUUAGCUUUUAUAGUUUUUUUUAAAAAAUGGAUUCUGUAGGAGUUUCUAUAUAAAAUGGAAGAUCAUGUCAUCUGUAAAUAUAGUUUUACUUCUUCCUUUCCAGUCUGGAUGCCUUUUAUAUCUUUUUCUUGCCUGAUUUCCCUGGCUAGAACCUUCAGCACAAUGUUGAAUAGGAGUGUCAAGAGGGGAUGUCCUUGUCUUGUUCCUGAUCUUAAGCAUAAAACUUUCAGUCUUUCACCAUUGGGUAUAAUGGUAGGUGUGAGUUUUUCAUAGAUGGCCUUUAUCAGAUUGAGAAAGUUGCCUUCUAUUCCUUGUUAUGUGUUUUUAUCAUGAAAGCGUGUCUGGCUUUAUCAAAUGUUUUUCUGUGUCUAUUGAGAUGAUCAUGUGGUUUUUUAUCCUUUAUUUUAUGUGUAUUAUAUUCAUUGAUUAUUAUAUAUUGAUGCAACUUUGCAUUCCUGGGAUAAAUCCCAUUUGGUCAUGGUGUAUAAUCCUUUUUAUAUGUUGCUGGAUUUGGUUUACUAGUAUUUUGUUGAGGAUUUUGUCCCUGUAUUACUAACAGGUAUUGGUCUUUUCUUGUGAUGUCUUUGCCUGGUUUUGGUAUUUGAAUAAUAAUGGCAUCACAUAUUAAGUUGGGAAGCAUUCCUUCUCUUCUGUUUUUUGGAAGAGUUUGCGAAGGAUUGGUGUUUAUUCUUUAAAUGUUUGGUAAACCCACCGGUAAAGCUAUCUGGGACUGACCUUUUCUUUGGAGAAGUUUUUUAAUUGAUUGAUUCAGUCUCUUUACUUGUUAUAGGUCUAUUCAGAUUUUCUAUUUCUUGAAUCAGUUUUGUCAAUUUGUGUGCCUUUCUAGGAAUUUCUUAAUUUCAUCUAGAUUAUCUAAUUUGCUGACAUACAAUUAUUCAUUGUAUUUCCUUAUGAUUCUUUCUGUUUCUGUAAGGUUGCCAGUAAUGUCUUUCAUUUCUGAUUUUAAUAAUUUGAGUCCUCUCUUUUGCUUGGUCAAUCUAGCUAAAGAUUUGUCAAUUUUGUUGAUCUUUUCGAACAACCAACUUUCGGUUUCACUGAUUUCUCUUAAUUCUUUUUCUGUUUCAUUUUAUUUCUGCUCUAAUCUUUAUUGUUUCUUUCCUUCUGCUUGCUUUAGGUUUAGUUGUUCUACUUUGUACACUUUCCUAAGGUGGAAGGCUACAUUAUUAAUUUGAGAUCUUUUUUCUUUUUCAAAAUAGGCGUUAACAGCUAUAAAUUUCUCUCCAAGAACUGCUUUCAUUGUGUCCUAUAAGUUUUGGUAUGCUGGGUUUUUUUUUUUUUUUUUCCAUUCAUCUUGAGGUAGUUUCUAAUUUCCCUUUUGAUUUCUUCUUUGACUUAUUGGUUACUUAGGAGUUUGUUGUUUAAUUUUUAUAUAUUUGUGACUUACCCAGAUUUCCUUCUUAUUGAAAUUUCUAAUUUUAUUCCAUUGUAGUCAAAGAAUAUACUUUGCAUUAUUUCCAUCCUUUUAAAUUUAUUAAGACUUAUUUUAUGGCCUAACGUAUACACUUGUGAAGAAUGUAUAUUCAAGCAGCUUCCGUUUAAGGACACAAUCUGGAAGUCGUAUAUAUGGCGUCCAUUCACAGUCUACUGGCCAGUAGAUAGAUACAGGGCCUAUACCUAGCUGAAAGGGAGGCUGGAAGUAUAGCGUACAGCAGGGGAGCCAUGUGUUCAGCUGAAACUUGGAGGUGGAGGGUAUUUUUACUGAGGAAGAUGGGAAGGGUGGAUAUUGGGGGAUAGUAUAUCACAGGCAGCAUUACAUUUUUGUGGUAAUUUACUUUGCAACUUCAAUAUAAAUUAUAAUCUGAAUCAAUGCCUUGGUGUUGAUGAUUAGCACAAUAAUUAUUAGAAAUAGUUUUUGAUUGCAUGGCUUGUUAUAACCAGACCCACUGCCCUUACAUGAAUAAGGUGUAAGAAACCAGCAAACCCAACCACCAGACCAAACAGUCCUUGCUUAGCUGUGGAGCCCUUGAGGAAUAGAACAUAUUAGCCCUGUAUCUACACUUCAUGGAGAUCUUGUUUUCUCAUCCAGCUGAAACGACUGUAGUAUCCUUUCAGGAUUCCUUUCUUGAGGUGCUGGGCUUUGUAGCUGCAGACAGAAAGAGGGACCUUGUCUUAGUCGUCUAGUGCUGGUAUAACAGAAAUACCAUAAGUGCAUGACUUUAACAAAAAGAAGUUUAUUUAUUCACAGUAAAGUAGGCUAAAAGUCCAAACUCAGGGUGUCAGCUCCAGGGGAAGACUUUCUCUCUCUGUCGAUCUUCUCGUCAGUCUUUCCCUGGACAAGGAGCUUCUCUGCACAGGGACUCUCUCUGCUCCUGGCACUGCCUUCUUGGGGGUAUGAGGUCCCUCUGCUUCUCCGCUCCCUUCUCUUUUAUAUCUCAAAAGAGAUUGCCUCAAGAUACAAUCCAAUCUUGUAGGUUGAGUCCUGCCUCACUGGCACAACUGCUGCCCAUCCUCCCUCAGUAACAUCAUAAAGGCAGGCUUUACAACAUAUAGGAAAAUCACACAAUACCAGGAAUCAUGGCCCAGCCAAAUAGGUACACACAUUUUUGAGGGGACAUAAUUCAAUCCAUGACAGACCUCAUUCAAGCUAUAGGUCCUAUGACUCUUUGUGCCAAUUUCCAAAAAAUGCAGUCUUUUAGCAUUCAAAUCAUUAGUGAGAUAAUGCCUGGUGGGAAGAUUGCUGGGAUGUGGUUAUGCUGGCCCUACCUUGCUCUCACCACCAGAAGCUACUAGUAUUUGUAAAAAACCACCUGAUAUUUGGUGAUGGCACUGGCUUAGGCAGGAUUACUCCAGGCCAGGGUGUAGCUGGAAAUCAUUGAUAGGCAGGGCUCUUUCUUUCUGUCCUUUCUGCUUCUCUGUGUAGACUUUAUUCAUUCCUUUUUCUACAUGGAAGGCACAUGAGCCCUGGCAGCUGUACCUCACAGCUUCAGGAACAAAAAGGAAAGAAUUCUUCUCCUAGCCUAGUUGAGAAAUCCCUGGGAAAGGAUUCCAUCUGCUUUGCAGAGUCAUGGGUACUGCGAUUGGCCAGUUUGGUCAUUUAACCAGUUGGAAUCGACUCAAUGACAACGGUUUUUUUUUUUUUACAGCACUCACUGUACCUGGGAUUUUCAAUCACACCAGCUUCCUUUUUGUCCCACAUUAGAGCUGAGUGGGAAGAGAAUGAGGGAGAGGGCCCUGUGCCAUUUCGGAAGAGAGAGGAGGAUUCCAGUUUAACAGUACAAGUACAGACUGGGAGAAUGAUUUGCAGGGCAGCCGUUUCAAAUUGCUCCUGCCUUGUCAAACUCCGUUACAUUUUACAUGUAUAACGUUGGGUAAUUUACUGUAUGUCCUUAGUGUCACUUUCAUUUAUAAUAUGUGAAUAAUUCUUACCACACAAGAUUUUGGGAAGUUUACAGCCUAUAAAGUGCAUGUCACAUAGAGAGCACCUAUAAGUGAGUGUCUGCGGUGCCGUAGCUGGUACUGUUAAUAUUAAUGUAACAUCACCCUUUUUCACAUGUCCUCAUAUUUACAGCAUUAUUUUUCUAAAAUAAGUCUUUGAGAAUGUUAUUGCCCUCCUUGUAAACCUUCAGUAGCUCUCCAUUAACUGUAGAAUAAAGUCGAAUUUCUUUAAUUACUCAAUAAUUUCUUUUCUGGCUCUUGCAGGAUCUGGUUCACAUUUCCCCCUUUCAUCCUCAUCUUCUCUGCAUUCCUUUCUGCACUUCUUCUGUAUUCUUGUUAGUAAAUCUCUUCUUCUGUGCCUACUUCAUGUAUAGUGUUUUCUGUAUCUGUGCCUUUGCUGCUGCUGUUCCCUUGCCUUGGAAUGCCUUCUUUUUCCUGCUUUCUCCUCUUCUCGUCAGACUUUUUACUUUUUUUUAAAGUCCUAGAUUGAAAUGUGAAAUAUGGUCACAUCAGUAUUGCUGUCCCUGUUUUUUUUCCAUAGCAGGGCCCCUCUGUAGUCCACAGCACUUUGUGUCUCCGUUCAUGUAGCAUUUAUUUUUGCCGCAUAUUGCACUUAUUUACAUGCUAGUCUUUCUGUUUUGUUUUUUUUUUUUACCCAUUUUGCAAGAGCCUAGGCCAGUUAUUUUACAGAAUAUCACCACAUUCUGGAUUUGUCCGAUGGUUUCCUAGUUAUGUUUGUUUUAAUUAUUCUCAGCUAUCUCUUUAAGUGUUUUAUAACUUGUUAUCCCAAUAGUGGUACCAUCGUUGAUGCCUGUCUUGCCCUUUCUCUAUUUACUAAAAUUUUACUUUAAAAAUUAUAUUAUGGUAGAAGAGAAUAAAGGAUGAAUAUAUUGACUCUUACUUUGUUUGAGUUGACUUUACAUUUUAAUUCUCAUUGGAUCUUUUUAAACCUAAUUAUUAUUUUUGUAAUUUCCUUGAUGCUUUUGGAGGGAGGAUAAGUAUAGGGUAUAUAAUAAAGGGCUAUUAAAUGCUUAACCCAGUGCCGUCGAGUUAAAUGCUUAGGGAAUGGUUUUUGUUGACUGCGUUUUCUCUAACUGUAUUGCUAGUAAAAUAACUUUUUUGACCCUGUUCAGAACUGAGAUUUUUUUUUCUAAAAUAUGAGUUUUUCUUCUUCUUUUUGUAAAUAGAAUAAAAACAGGAGCAGUACUUCAGAGUAAUAAUUUCUGAACAUGAAUGUCUAUGGCUCAAGACUUUUGAAUGUUGGGCACCAAUGGUUUAAAGUGGAACAGCUUUCUUUAAAUCAUUACCCCAUGAUAUCGGCUUAUGUUGCUACUUUCUCCUAUGGGGGAGUACAGAAUAAUACCAGUUGUUGAAGUAUUAAAUCUUCUUUAAACUUUGAUUAUUUGAAGUUCUACUGCACAUGACUAAUUUAAUUUUUGGAAUAUUUACUGAAUGUCAACAUAGUGCUUAGUAUGAAAAACGUAGCCUUUACUGGGCUUAGUCUGUAAGGGAAACAUACAGGUAAGCCAUGUUUUAUUAGUAAAUAUUAUUUGAGCACCUAAUGUGUGCCAGACUCUGUUCUGAGGCAUGUGAUAUCAAGGAUAAAUCAGGUAUCACUCCUACCCCCUCGGAACGCCCAGUCUUGUGAGUCAGAUAAAUAAGCCGGUUAUUAUGGGACAUGGCUAUGCAUGCCAUGCGGAGGCUCACCUGGGAGAUUCUGGGAGCCCAGGCCUGGGAAUCCAAGUUGGAUGGAGGGGAGGCGUCUGAUGAGUGACAGGCACACAGAAAAUCAGUUUCAAGGGUAUUCUAGAUUGAGGAACAUUGGAUGGGAAGUUGCAGAGACAAAAAUGUUGUGACCUAUUUGAGGAAUUACAAAGAGUUAAAGCUACAGCAGUGUUUCUCAAAGUGUGUUCCUCUGUCAGACUCACCUGGGAGUGAUUCCUACUCUCCCCCACUCCACAAGAUGAUUCCGAGCUUCCAGGUGAUUUCUAAACUUAUUAAAAUUUGAGAAACACUGGGCUAGAGUUAAUAAGCAUAAAGGAAAAACAAAAAUUAUAGUGUGAUAUAUUCUACAUUUAAGGCGUAUAUUAAGUUUAUGAUUAAAUGUGUUUGUAUAGACUUUCAGACAUUUUCAUUUAACACCUGUUAAUUCCCCUAUCCUAAGUGUUUUUUUGGAGGGACGAUGGGUGGAGGAAGGGAAGGGAUGUUACUGUAAAUCUUGUCUCUUUAUCCCCAGAUGAUUCUAAAGACAAUUCAUCAGUCUGUUAAUCUCUUGUUUAUUGAAUUUUUUUUUUUUUUUUUUU